UCAAAAUAGUCCUUUUUACCUCCAACCUGUUUUACAGGUUAUUAUUUUUUUUUUAAUUUUUCUUUAGUUCCUGUACUCUCACAUCACGUCCUCACCCCCUUCAUCCCUGACAACCACCAUCACUACCACCACAGCACCACCCACACCAAUCCAUCACCGCCGAAUUGACCUCAACCCCGAAAUUAAACCCACUAGAAUUGGGGAAGAGAUAAGGGGCUGCAAUCUGCCAUAUCCAAUCCCCACACAUGAAUCCACUCCUAACCCCCAACUCAAAACCCCACAUGAGGAAGGGCGGCUGAGCUUCGGUCGUGGAUUUUUGACCGAAAAAGAUGUUUGAAGAUGAGAAAAGUGGUAAGACCACCAUUAACGGUGGCCUUAACAAAGGAGAGGACAGUUCGGCAGAUCUGGAGCAUGUGUGUCAAUCGGUGGUCCGGGCUGCUGAUUCAUCGGAAAUAAAGGCGGUGAUGUGGUUGGCAGUUCGGAGUGGAGGUCUCAAGUCUGGUGGGGUUAUGGUUUCCGGCUCAAAACUCGAUCAACGCGCCAGCUGGGCGGCGGAUCGAUUCGAGUUUCUGUUGGGUUGAGGAGGGAAUCGCCGAAACGGGGAAGGUAUAGUGGAAGGGGGAACGGGGAAGAGGAGGGAAUUAAGGAGGGCGGCUGGUCUAGCUGUGCCGGUGGUGGCUGUUCCGGCGGCGGCUGGGUCCGGCGAUGGAGGGAGCUUUGGCAGGGUAAGGUCGUAAGUAAGAAGAAGUUAAGGAUUAUUAAUUUUUUUUUGUUUAUUUCUUUAUUAAUUAAAAAAAUAACAAGAACCAAUUAGAAGGUGACACGUAUCAAAUCACCUUCUAAAUACAGUUAUCAACUUUACAAACUGGUAAAAGGACUACUUUGAGCAGAUGGGGUGUUAAGGUGGGAUUAUUUUUGGAAUACGUAAAGGUGGGAUUAUUUUGAGAAAAUGUGCCAAAGGUGGGAUUAUUUUUUUCAAUUUUUCUUAUAAUUAAAGUUUAAUAGUUUAUACUAGCUAGAAAAUCUGGGGUAUUACACAAAACCCACGAUAACAAAAUUUAGGGAAAAUAUAAAACUCCUCCACUACUUACACUUAUCAACCCUAACUUUUCUUCUCCGAUCUCCUUAUUUCGUAAAUCUACAGAGGCUUAUGGAGCCAUGGAUUUCAAAAUCAGAUUUUUGUCUCUCAUUAGGUUGAAUUCGAAAUGCCGUACAUCAAUUACAAAUUCAGAUCUUUUCCCUCUUUGUAUCAAUUUCGAAGUGUGUUACAUCAGUUUCAAAUUCAUCAAAUUUUAGUCCCUGAUUCUUUUUCGAAAUGAGGUGAAGAAUCAAGGUGUUGAUUUUGGAAUUUGGAUUUCAAUGUUGUAAUUUUUUUUUUCUUCGAUGUGUAAUUUUUUUUUUCUUCAAUGUUAUAAUUUUUUUUUUCUGGAUUUUGAUAUUGUAAUUUAUUUUAUUUUUUUGUAUUGUAAAAUAACAAUUUAAUCAUCAAUAUAUUUCGUAUUCAAGCUUGUUAUA